rnacentral:rRNA from 1 species
UACGGAGGAUGCGAGCGUUAUCCGGAUUUAUUGGGUUUAAAGGGUGCGCAGGCGGCUGCUCAAGUCAGCGGUAAAAUUUCGGGGCUCAACCCCGUCCGGCCGUUGAAACUGGGCUGCUUGAGUUCGUGGGAGGAUGGCGGAAUGCGCGGUGUAGCGGUGAAAUGCAUAGAUAUCGCGCAGAACUCCGAUUGCGAAGGCAGCUGUCCACCACGCGACUGACGCUCAUGCACGAAAGCGUGGGUAUC